rnacentral:rRNA from 1 species
AUACGGAGGAUGCAAGCGUUAUCCGGAUUUAUUGGGUUUAAAGGGUGCGCAGGUUGUUUGACAAGUCAGUGGUGAAAGUCUGCCGCUUAACGGAAGGAUUGCCAUUGAUACUGUUGGACUUGAGUAUGGAUAAGGUAUGCGGAAUGUGUAGUGUAGCGGUGAAAUGCAUAGAUAUUACACAGAACACCGAUUGCGAAGGCAGCAUACUGGGCCAUUACUGACGCUGAGGCACGAAAGCGUGGGGAUC